GUUUCAUCAUUCAGUUGGAGAAGAUAAAUGAAGACAAAACUUGGUUCUUACUUUCUGUACUUAGAAAGAAGGCAUAACAAAUCUUGCCAUUUGUCAAAAGAACCACGUUUGCUUCCCUUUCUCAAGGAAAGCCUGUACCAUCCCCAUGGAAUGGAAUCUUCCUCCACUUCCCGAGAACUCCCACCAUCCUCUAAGAUUGAGUUCACUGCUGACUUUAUAUGUGAACCAUCCUUGCAUCUCCUAAUGUAGACAGCUAAAUCUCACCUUAAAUCAGCUCUGCUUUUUCUACAUUUGCUGCAAAAUGGGGAUAUCCCAUCUCCUGCUGCAACUUGCUGAGAUCUGAUUUGUGUCUGCCUGGUGACUCUGAAUCCAUUAGAAGAAAUUCCCACUAUUCUGUUACCAGAGAACAUGCUGGAUUCAUGUACCUUAAUCCCUGGGGCAAGCCCUUCUCCGAGGCCAAAAACCCACGAAAGUGAUCACUGACAUUGGAAACAGAAGCAUUCCGUUUCUCAAGUUAGUUAUGCUAUUUCUCCUUCUUUCUUCUACAAAUAAAACUUCCCUUAUCAGAGAUCA
rnacentral:lncRNA from 1 species